UCCGCUUUCUUCCCGAGUGCACAUGACUGAAUGUGCUUCUGUCCAUCAUCUGGGUCAUAUAUAGUUCAAUGCGAGCUGAGCAGACAGGGCUGCAAGGAAAUCUGGCGCGGUUCAAUACCUCGUCUAGCCUGGGUUCCAGUAUCUAAUUUUUUUUUUAACUGACAAACUCAUUUCUCUACCGGGACAGGAUGCUCUGCUGGCUGGAAGUUCCAUUUCUACAGCAAGAAUCCUAUCUGGAAACACAGAAGUUGUCCUCUAGCCACAGCAGCUCGAACUUUUUUGAUUGCUGCUGCUGCUUUCUCCCAUCACCCCCACCCCCUUUUGACAAAGAUCCAACUGUAAAAAGUCUUACGUAACAGUUCAGGACUACUUCGGUUCUUUUACUGGUAUAUCAAGAGGCCUCAAGAAGACUAUGAAAACAAUUACAUGUCCAAGUUGGAGCAAUGUGGGUUUCAACCUUUGGAAAAGGAAAAGAGAUUCCUGUGCUUCGAACACCACAUCAUGAUGGGCCACUGACCAUGAAUUCAGCUUCUAGAGAAACUGUUCUCCGCACUCCCCACCAAAAAGCAACAAUUUUUACCCAGGAUUUGUACUGAAAUGUAACAGUCAUUCACUGGCCCUUUGUGAACUAACCAGCUCUGGUCAUCUGUAUCCAUUUCCCACCUGCCUUGUCUUCUUCUGAUCAUGAUUAGUCCUCAAUGAAACUUUUGUCCUUCUUUCAGUCAGAUCUGGUCUCAGCCCUAGUUAUAUUCUAGCCCCAAAGUUGAGACAUGUCCCAGAUCCCAAGAAAGGCUACUCAGUAAAUACUGAGGAACUGCUUCUUUCUCCAAAAACCAAUAGUAAUAAAAUACAAUGCCACAACAAUGCAUUUCUUACCAUAAUAUCAAAUUCUGAGAGAACACAACAGUUUCACUAUUCUCUGACUUUAAUGUCUAGAAUAGCAAUGUCCAAUAGAAGUUGCUACAAUAAUGAGAAUGUUCAGGAUGCCUGGGUGACUUAGUUG